rnacentral:rRNA from 1 species
ACGAAGGGUGCGAGCGUUAAUCGGAAUUACUGGGCGUAAAGCGCGCGUAGGUGGUUUGGUAAGCGAUAUGUGAAAUCCCCGGGCUUAACCUGGGAACUGCAUGUCGAACUGCCAGGCUAGAGUAUGGUAGAGGGCGGUGGAAUUCCGGGUGUAGUGGUGGAAUGCGUAGAGCUCCGGAGGAACACCAGUGGCGAAGGCGGCCGCCUGGGCCAGCCCUGACGCUGAGCCGCGAAAGCGUGGGGAGCGAUCCGGA